GACGAACGCUGGCGGCGUGCUUAACACAUGCAAGUCGAGCGGUAAGGCCCUUUCGGGGGUACACGAGCGGCGAACGGGUGAGUAACACGUGGGUGACCUGCCCUCAGCUCUGGGAUAAGCCCGGGAAACUGGGUCUAAUACCGGAUAUGACUCCAUGACGCAUGUUGUGGGGUGGAAAGCCUUGUGCGGCUGAGGAUGGGCCCGCGGCCUAUCAGCUUGUUGGUGGGGUGANGGCCUACCAAGGCGACGACGGGUAGCCGGCCUGAGAGGGCGACCGGCCACACUGGGACUGAGACACGGCCCAGACCCCUACGGGAGGCAGCAGUGGGGAAUCUUGCGCAAUGGGCGAAAGCCUGACGCAGCGACGCCGCGUGAGGGAUGACGGCCUC
rnacentral:rRNA from 1 species